rnacentral:rRNA from 1 species
GACGAACGCUGGCGGCGUGCCUAAUACAUGCAAGUCGAACGCAGUGGGGACGGGUGAGUAACACGUGGGUAACCUCCCAUCAGAGGGGAUAACACUUGGAAACAGGUGCUAAACCGAUACUGAUGGAUGGCCUUGCGGUGCAUUAGCUCGUUGGUGGGGUAACGGCCUACCAAGGCAAUGAUGCAUAGCCGACCUGAGAGGGUAAGCGGCCACAGUGGGACUGAGACACGGCCCAAACUCCUACGGGAGGCAGCAGUAGGGAAUCUUCCGCAAUGGGCGCAAGCCUGACGGAGCAACGCCGCGUGAGUGAAGAAGGUUUUCGGAUCGUAAAGCUCUGUUGUAAGAGAAGCGGUAUCUUACCAGAAAGCCACGGCUAACUACGUGCCAGCAGCCGCGGUAAUUC